UGGAGACAAAGGCUUCAUUCCGGCAACUACAUAAAAAGUCAUUACAGUCCUACGGCAUUAUUUUCUCUAUAUCCUCGCCCAUUAGGAGUAGAUGCUUCGAUCAAGAAGUUUACCAAAAGCACCUUCAAACUAGUAAUGCUGAAUAUCCUAGCAACUUGUGACAAGUGUACCGUACAGGUUUAUGCAUUAUUUAUUGGGAGCAAAUCUGAUCCUCGCUAUUGGGCUUGUAUGCCCGUCCUGAUUGAUGUCUUUCACGGUGCGCUGAACCGCCAGGAGCAAAGACCCAGAGGCUGAGAUGCUUUUACUGCACAACGCCAACGCUGGCCAAAAAC
rnacentral:sRNA from 1 species